GACGAACGCUGGCGGCGUGCCUAAUACAUGCAAGUCGAACGCAGUGGGGACGGGUGAGUAACACGUGGGUAACCUCCCAUCAGAGGGGAUAACACUUGGAAACAGGUGCUAAACCGAUACUGAUGGAUGGACCCGCGGUGCAUUAGCUAGUUGGUGAGGUAACGGCUCACCAAGGCCACGAUGCAUAGCCGACCGGAGAGGGUGAUGGGCCACACAGGGACUGGGACACGGCGCAGACUCCUACGGGAGGCAGCAGUAGGGGAUCUUCGGCAGUGGACGAAAGUCUGACCGAGCGACGCCGCGGGAGUGAAGAAGGUUAGCGGAUCGUAAAACUCUGUUGUUAGGGGAGCGGUAUCUAACCAGAAAACCACGGAUAACUACGUACCAGCAGCCGCGGUAAUUC
rnacentral:rRNA from 1 species